ACACCAAGUGUCAGUACCGCUCAGUACUGAUAGGUGUCAGAAUAUUCCUGCCUGUCCAUCCAGAGGCCUACCUUCUCGCCUGCGGCCAGAGACACCGAAACUAAUGAUAUCAAACUUUUAAGAGAGUCACUGCGGAAAGGAUGUCUGAGGAGGGAGACAGGCAAAAAUCCAUCAUUUAAACCCUCUGCCCAUUCAACUGACCAUCACCCAUGUCUACACCUUCUCUGCACUCAUGCGUCAUUGUGAGGAGCCCUGCCACCAUCCCAGUCCACCCCAGCCUCUGCGUUAGGCCCCCC